CAAUGGCGUAUAUUAAAGUUGUUGCAGUUAAAAAGCUCGUAGUUGGAUUUCUGGCAGGAGCGACCGGUCGGCCCAAGUGGUGUGUACUAGUGUUGCAUCUGGCCAUAUUUGCGGAGAGCGUGUGUGGCAUUAAUUUGUCGUGCACGGGACCCGCAUCGUUUACUGUGAGAAAAUUAGAGUGUUUAAAGCAGGCCUUCGCCUUGAAUACAUUAGCAUGGAAUAAUAAGAUAGGACUUUGGUCUAUUUUGUUGGUUUGCAGACCGAAGUAAUGAUUAAUAGGGAUAGUUGGGGGUAUUUAUAUUCCAAUGUCAGAGGUGAAAUCUUAGAUUUUUGGAAGAUAAACUUAUGCGAAAGCAUUUACCAAGGAUGUUUUCUAUUAAUCAAGAACGAAAGUUAGGGGAUCGAAGACGAUUAGAUACCAU
rnacentral:rRNA from 1 species